UNGCCAGCUGAGUGAGGACAGUCUGUU
rnacentral:piRNA from 1 species